GAUUUGACGCUAGAACAGAGAAGAUAAGACUGCUAAAAUGGAGUUGGCACAUUGACCUUUGGUCACACUCAGACGGCUGGCAUUGUUGUUCAGAAAGUGGAUGAAUUACACACGAUAGAUAUGAAGCUUCUGUUUCCUCUUGUGAUGUUGAUGAUCAUCCAGACAGCAGUGGGAAGUUCGAUAAGUUUACAGAUAUGCCACUCCCACUGUAACAUAGGCGAGGUGGACUGUAUCCUUCAGUGUCCACAUUUACUGUGCGAACAGGACUGUACGAGGGCUGAAGAACGCUGCGUCCACCUCUGUGAUGCUAACUAUACAACAACGCAAAGGGUGAUUACAGCUGACCCCAAUUUAUGGAUGACUAAACGUACAACUCCAGCCCCCACCACACAGGACACUCCGACACCAUCAACAAUAGCUAUGGUCACAGAAGACAUCAAACCAACACCAAAACCACAUCACUCACCAACAACCCAAAUCAGCUUCCCUUCACCAGAAACCUUCUUCACAACUGAUGAACAGAAUGGCGUUGUCGUAAUAGGAUAAAUAAAACAAUUUAUUUGUUAUUGUAAAA